AACGAACGCUGGCGGCAGGCUUAACACAUGCAAGUCGAACGCCCCGCAAGGGGAGUGGCAGACGGGUGAGUAACGCGUGGGAAUCUACCCAGUUCUACGGAACAACACAGGGAAACUUGUGCUAAUACCGUAUACGCCCUACGGGGGAAAGAUUUAUCGGAAUUAGAUGAGCCUGCGUUGGAUUAGCUAGUUGGUGGGGU
rnacentral:rRNA from 1 species